rnacentral:rRNA from 1 species
CAGUAGCCGCGGGAAUACGAAGGGUGCAAGCGUUACUCGGGAUUACUGGGCGUAAAGCGAGCGUAGGUGGUGGUUUAAGUCCGUUGUGAAAACCCUGGGCUCAACCUGGGAAUUGCAGUGGAUACUGGGUCACUAGAGUGUGGUAGAGGAUAGUGGAAUUUCCGGUGUAGCAGUGAAAUGCGUAGAGAUCGGAAGGAACAUCUGUGGCGAAGGCGACUAUCUGGGCCAACACUGACACUGAGGCACGAAAGCGUGGGGAGCAAACAGGAUUAGAUACCCCGGUAGUCCCUGUCUCUUAUAC